rnacentral:tRNA from 1 species
CGUCCCAGGGUGGGCUCGAACCACCAACCUUUCGGUUAACAGCCGAACGCGCUAGCCGAUUGCGCCACGGAGAC